rnacentral:lncRNA from 1 species
CCUCCAUUGUCUCUCCUAGUUGUUCCUCUCCCUCCAUUCUGUCUCUCUUCCUAUUUGUUCUUAUCUACUUCCCAUUCUGUCUCUCUUCCUAGUUGUUCAUCUACUUCCCAUUCUGUCUCUCUUCCUAGUUGUUCGUCUACUUCCCAUUCUGUCUCUCCUCCUAGUUGUUCAUCUACUUCCAUUCUGUCUCUCCUCCUAGUUGUUCGUCUACUUCCCAUUCUGUCUCUCCUCCUAGUUGUUCGUCUACUGCCCAUUCUGUCUCUCCUCCUAGUUGUUCAUCUACUUCCCAUUCUGUCUCUCCUCCUAGUUGUUUGUCUACUUCCCAUUCUGUCUCUCCUCCUAGUUGUUCGUCUACUUCCCAUUCUGUCUCUCCUCCUAAAGUAUAUAGUGCUUCUUUGAUGGCUUUAGCUCACCUGUGCAGUUCUCUGUUUCCGUCUUGCUCAUCUUCUUUUAUAUAAACUGUAUUUACAUCAUUACUCAGAUACCACGACUACUAUUGCUUUACAUGAGCAGGACAAUGCUCCACUACAUGCUGUUUCUUCCAUGUGUUAGUGGUGUGACAGUGUUGUCCACGAUAGACACUCUGUAGUUAAUGUUGUUUUUGAUGCUAAACGAAAGUAAAACAAACAUACAAGUCAGAAGUCCCUUUUCCAAAAACACUGUCAUCUUCCUCCCAGACACUCCCAUAAAGGUACAAUGUGCAACUGUUCUGGGAACAUAACCAGUGAUACACCUCAUUUUUCAGCCAGGCUCACGCCUUCAAUGCAACGUUACUUUGCAUUAUCAUUGACCGGUGAUUAGCAGUAAUGGUAAUUUCUAAAGUCACGUGAGCCCACAUGUCCCAUGUAGGGAAUUGAACCCACAACCUAGGGUUUAGCAGCUCCAUGCUCAAACCAACUCAUUGUCAGGGGCAGAGUAUCUAAACCCCUCCUCUCAGACAGACCUGGAGACGGGCGGAGGUAGGAGAACAACAACGAGCAGAAUGCUUUGAUUACGUAACCCAGGUGGGCUCCAAUGCAGUAGCAGCCAUUCAUGGUUGGCUCAUC